rfam:Populus trichocarpa isolate Nisqually-1 chromosome 4, whole genome shotgun sequence.
UAAUAUAUUUGGGAUAAAUCCUCAUUUAAUUAUGACAAAUCCAUACAUGACUACUCAGAAUCAUCCAUUACCACAAGCUGAACAAAAUAAUUGAAUUUUUACUUUGUAGCACUUCAAAAGCAUGACAUUUAGUAAAUGCUAUGCU